AGGGAGGGAGGGAAGGAGGUGGUGGAGGCACUGGAGGGGGAGAAGCUUACAGAGAUGACCAGGAUAGUGGUGUUUCAGUUGGGGGCAGGGUGGAGUUUGUAGGCCUGAGAGGAUUUAAGGUGGAAGAUGGGAUCAUUGCAGUGGAGAAGGCAUUCCAUGUGAUGAAGGACAGGGGUUAUGGAGGAGAGGCAGUCUGGGUCCCUGAGUCCUGGCCCUGGGUGUGAUUGGAGGAAAGGGCCCAACUAUCCUCAGGGCCUCAAGGGCUGGACAUGGUGGUGCUCUGGGGAAUAGGAAAACCUUCCUAGAGUGUGCUGGCCAGAAGGAGGAAGUCUUUGAACUGAGACUGCUCUGCCUUCCCUAGAGCUCAGAUCUCUGAUUUCUUCCCUUAGAGCAGGGAUAGCUCUGCCUCACCUUGGAGCUGAGAUCACUCCAUCUUCCCAGAAGCUGAGAUCUCUCUGCCUUGUCUUGGAGCUGAAAUCUCUCCCUUCCCUUGUGACUGAGAUUGUUCUUCCUUCUUUUAGAGCUGAGAUCUCCCUGAAUUCCCUGAAGUUGACAUCACUCUGCCUUCUGGAAGACAGCUCUAUGCGUUUAAGUCCCAGGAAACCACUUCAAAAACCACUGAUGCAGGCAGCAAAGUGAGCCACUGUGGGAGAGUGAGAGAGCCAUGCUGUGCAGAGCUGCUUGGAGAGACUUUGGA
rnacentral:lncRNA from 1 species